rnacentral:lncRNA from 1 species
AACAGUGUCAACAAAUCCCCAUACUGAUCCACAAACAUCUUCUGAUUACUGCCGGUCACAAGAUUGUUCAACUCUAUCAAAGAUGUCAAUGGCUCACGGUGAAAACUGUAGGUGCAAGUCUUCCUCUUCAACUCUGGAACGGUUGCCAUCUCUCACAGUGAAUAGACUCCUGAAUGAAUCUGAGAAAUGAUAUGCAUGAGGAGAUUAGCUUUUUU